rnacentral:rRNA from 1 species
GGGAAGAGCUCAAAUUUAUAAUCUGGCACCUUCGGUGUCCGAGUUGUAAUCUCUAGAAAUGUUUUCCGCGUUGGACCGCACACAAGUCUGUUGGAAUACAGCGGCAUAGUGGUGAGACCCCCGUAUAUGGUGCGGACGCCCAGCGCUUUGUGAUACAUUUUCGAAGAGUCGAGUUGUUUGGGAAUGCAGCUCAAAUUGGGUGGUAAAUUCCAUCUAAAGCUAAAUAUUGGCGAGAGACCGAUAGCGAACAAGUACCGUGAGGGAAAGAUGAAAAGCACUUUGGAAAGAGAGUUAACAGUACGUGAAAUUGUUGGAAGGGAAACGCUUGAAGUCAGACUUGCUUGCCGAGCAAUCGGUUUGCAGGCCAGCAUCAGUUUUCCGGGAUGGAUAAUGGUAGAGAGAAGGUAGCAGUUUCGGCUGUGUUAUAGCUCUCUGCUGGAUACAUCUUGGGGGACUGAGGAACGCAGUGUGCCUUUGGCGGGGGUUUCGACCUCUUCACACUUAGGAUGCUGGUGGAAUGGCUAAAAAACGACCCGUCUUGAAACCA